UGUUAGCCCUGAUAAAAGCGGCAUCCUUUUGUGUCUGCCGCGGCAGAUGCAAAAGAUAUAGCGGAUAGCAGGAAAGAGC
rfam:Flavobacterium sp. TAB87 contig000038, whole genome shotgun sequence.